rnacentral:lncRNA from 1 species
CGAAUUCAAAAUUCUAAUUUUUUAGUGUAGUAGCAUAUUUGUCCCAAAAGUUAAAUAAAAAAUUAACGAGUAAAUUUAAAUUUUACUACUAGAUUCUAUAAAAGGAAAAAAGAACAAUAGAAUAUAAGUACGAUAAUAGUUUAUACAUACAAAUCAUUACAAUUGGGGAAUACGAUGAUUUCAAUUCCAUUCAAUAGAGAGGACUGCUAACGGCUCCCCUCCCCGGAAAAUUCCUCCCGGCCCCACACCCAAAAAUACCAUUAUGUCCACUCCUUUUCCCUCCUCCUUUCCUUCCCUUCCCUUCCUGUCCACUACUUGCUCUCUCUCUCUACUUUUUUUUUUUCCACAGUCUUUUUUUUCUUUUUUUUUUUACAUUUUCACCCUUUUGUGUAUUUCUUUAUUUUGUUUCUUUGGUUUUCAUAGUUUUUUUACCAUCACUUUUUUUACUCCUUGUCCUCUUUCUUUAUUUUUUAAUUAUAGAUUUUUGGGAGGCAUUAUUUAUAACAAUUUAAAAAAUUAUAAAAAUAUGAAUCAAAAUAUUAAGUAUCCAUGUUCAGGAAGAUUUUUUUAGUUUUUUCAAAGUCCUUUUUUAGUUUUUUUUUAUUUUGGGUAUUUUUUUAGUUUUGUUUCUUUGUUUUCAUUAGUUUUUUUAAUCAUUUUUUUAUAAUUAUAUUUUUUAUUUAUUUUUUAAUUAUAGAUUUUUGAAUUCGUAUUUAUCACAAUUAAAAAAAUUAUAAAAUAAUGGAUCAAAAUAUUAUUUAGCCAUGUUCAGGAAAAAGUACAUUAUAAUAUACAAAAAAUAGAUCAAAUUUGACGAUUUUAAGGUAUCGUAUUAAAUGUUAAAACAACCAUUCGAAUGGCAUUCCAUUUGGAGGGUCGCUUUUUAAUACGGUAUGAAAAAGCAGACACACAAAAUAUUAAAACAACCUUAAACCCCACAUCACAUCAUCUGGAGGUAUCGGUAGAAACUGAUACCUCUCACUCGAUGAGCAUUCAUAUUUUUUAGUUCCAGUCUUUUUUUUAACGUUGCUCCUUCAUCAGAUAUCGGUGUGGUUUGUACUUUCCUCUCUUUCACACAUAAGAUCACUUUGGCACUUACCCCCCGCCUUUUAAAUUAGCAUAAUUUUUUAUAAUCAUCACAAUCCUUCUCCAACCAACUGUUUUCGCCCAUUUAUCAUAACUUCUCUACUUUUAAAUAUCACUACAAAAUAUACGAAAUUUAUAAGUGCAAAAAGUCUUAAACAUAAUUUAUCUACUUACAAAAAAAUAACAUAUGCAUAAAUAACGAUAAUAACUACCCGCUGUGCUAAAUUCGGUUGUAUAUCGCGACAUUUUGGAGAUGCUCUCCUCCCCCACUAGGAAUACAUUCCAAAGAACCAACUAAUCUUGAAAAAGACCUAAUAGUCAUCCAUAAUGUUCUAUGAAGUAUGGGUAAUGAAGAAACUAUAUUCUAGGAAGAGAGAAGGAGGAGGCUGAGAGGGAGAGAGCUUUUAGUACGGUGUGGAUUGACAUGGAGUGUGAGAGGAGUAUUUAAAGGGGGUGGGGGGUAGGGUUGAGUAAUUUAAAGUGAUGGGAGUUCUGACAUGUGUCAAGGGUUGGAGGGAGGAUAAUUUAAAGGGAGGGAGAGGUUCUGACAUGUGUUAAAGGUUGGAGAGGAUAAUUUAAAGGAAUGGGAUUUUUUGACAUAUGUCAAGGAUUGGAGGGAGGGUAAUUUAAAGGGAGAGAUAUUCUGACAUGUGUCAAAGUUAGAGGGAGUAAUUUAAAGAGAUGGGGGGUUUUGACAUGUGUCAAAGGUUGGAGGGAAGGUAAUUUAAAGAGAGUGAGAGAUUCUGACAUGUGUCAAGAGUUGGUGAGGGGUAAUUUAAAUGGAGGGAGAGAUUCUAACAUAUUCAAGGGUUGGAGGGAGUAAUUUUACAGGUAGGGGGAGUUUGGAGGGGUAAUUUAAAAAAAGAGAGGGGGAGGUUUUGACAUGUGUGUGUGGUAUUUAAAGUAGGUGAGAUUCUUACAUUGUCAAGGGUUGAUAGUAAUUUAAAGGGAAUGAGAGGUCAAAUUAAACCAAAAAAUUGUGAAAAAAAUAAUAAACAAAACUGAUUAAAACAUAAAUAAAAUUAAUAAUAAAAAACGACAUAAAAAUAAGGGGCACUGUGACAAAAAAAAAAGUUUAACUGAGAAAAAAAACUAAAAAAUAAUAAAUUAAAGGUUAAUUUGGUUGAGAGAGAAGGGUGAAAAACAAUAGAAGGAAGGGUAUAAGGUAAAAGACUGAGGAACAUAGAGGAGGACAAGGGAGGGGGCUGUCUGGGGGGGUGGGGGGGGCCUGGGGGGUUGGUAGUGUAGGCAAUUUACAAAAUAGAAAUGAAUAGGAUUCGAGUCAAGGAGGGACCUCUCAGUGAGCUAGAAGUUAAUUUCAGAAUUUCUUUUAAAUUAUUAAUAUAAUAUAUAAGUUUUUGUUUUGUUUUUUUUGGCCUUUUUGAGAUUCGAUGGUCCCUAUGCCACGGAUCCA